AAUAUUGGACAAUGGGGGCAACCCUGAUCCAGCCAUGCUGCGUGUGUGAAGAAGGUCUUCGUAUUGUAAAGCACUUUAAGUUGGGAGGAAGGGCUUUAGGUUAAUACCCUGAAGUUUUGACGUUACUAACAGAAUAAGCACCGGCUAACUCUGUGCCAGCAGCCGCGGUAAUACAGAGCGUGCAAGCGUUAACAGGAAUGACUGGGCGUAAAGCGCGCGUAGGUGGUUAAGUAAGAUUGGUGUGAAAACCCCGGGCUUAACCUGGGAACUGCUUUCAUAACUGCUGAGCAAGAGUACGGUAGAGGGUAGUGGAAUUUCCUGUGUAGCGGUGAAAUGCGUAGAUAUAGGAAGGAACACCAGUGGCGAAGGCGACUACCUGGACUGAUACUGACACUGAGGUGCGAAAGCGUGGGGAGCAAACA
rnacentral:rRNA from 1 species